AAGGGUUUUGUUGGAGGUUGCAGCUCCUCCGUCACCCACUUUGUCCUGCACCUUGGAUGCAUGGGGCUGCAUGGCCAAACCUUCCCUUGGGGUUUUAGCAGGGUUGCAUGCAUAUCGUGGUUGUGGGGUUCUUGCAGGUAUGGGGAGAAUGAGCAAGAAGGAAAAAGAGAAAUCCUGAGAAGGUCCAGGAGAAGGUGGGACAAGGCUUGGAGGGGUGAUAUGGGGUGAUGGAGAGGAGCUGGGGCAUGGUGGAGCCUUGGAGAACCAUAACAGGGAAAAGGGGAAGGGCCUGGGAGACAGGACCCACCAAGGGGGAAGCCCAGGCAGCAUUAGGGAAACUGAGCCCCAGCCACUAGUUUUCUCCCAGAAAAAGGUUUAUGUAUAUGCUCACUGUGGGCCCUCAUUCAACUGCAGGAGACACUGGACCUGAAACCAGCACUUGCACAUGGGUCAAUGGCCCUACAAAUGCCCUGAGUGCAGGAAGGGUUUCAGCAUGAGCUCCUGUUGCAUCGUGCAUCAGUGAGUCUGUAGAGGGGAAGAGGCUGAGAAGCUGAAAUUUCUAUUGCAGGACACGCAGCAGAACAACUUUGAGAACACAGCCUCACCAGCCAAAUAUUUGCUUGGACAGAGCUUCACCCACAGCACCAACCUUUUUAUUCGCUGGUGACUCGACACCAGGGAGAGACCCUACAGCUGCCUUGACUGCAGGAAGAGCUUCUGUAGUAGCUCCGACCUUGUGUGACACCAGAGGACCCUCAGCGGGGAGAGACUCUAUAAAUGUCCUGAAAAUGUGCAUCAUCCAAGUGCAUCACCCACCAGAGGAGCCAUAUGGAAGAAGCUCCCUGCAAGUGCUCAGUGUGCCGGAAGAGCUACAAGGCCAAGGUGUCCCACCAGAAACUGCAUGUGGAGGAGAAAGCGUUGUGCAAGAAUGGGGUCAGCCCAUCUGGAGCUGGUGAGAUCUAAAAGUCCAACCCUAAACCUCUAGCACCUCAUAAGGAAAGGAACCCGCUCUUCCUCAGGUAACAUCUGUGGGAUGUUGUCUGAGUUUCAGCAGAGUUUCAUCUGCUUUUCUUCUUCCUAUAUUUAUAAAGAACAGCUGAAUUCCAUAAAACAUUGGCUAGGGAAGGGGUCAACAGGUAAGAUGUGGAAAAGCACAUUUUUAACUUACUAAGAAUUAAAGCUUUUAAAGAUUUUUUUUCCCUCCUAUUUAAGAAGUGUUCUUUCCUUUUUUUUUUUUUUUUUUUUUUUUUUUACCUUUCACAUUGGUUCCAUGGCAGGUUCAAACAAUUUUGUUCCAUUGCACAGGUUUGAACACCAAAUCCCUGCACUGCUCUGCCCUGGGUUUCUGCACUUCUGCGCUGAGUACCCAGUGCUCCCACAGUGCGUUGAAUAUUCAUGGCGAUUUAUUUCAAGCUGGGUUUAGUCAGAGCGAGGCAAAGUGGGUGGAAAAGCCCUUAUUUUUGGUCUAUGCGUAUAAACCCCAUUCUCUGAUUGGUAUCUUUAGGACAAAGCCUGAGUAGAAAUUCUGAUUUCUCCUAAAAGAGUUUGCUGUGUGCACACCUCAUGAUUUUCCACCUCUUUUUCUUAAGGAAUUACUCAUCAAAAGUCAAUUUGCUGACUGCUAGGGUGUUCAGGAGCAACUGAAACUCAUCUCUAAAAAGAAUAAAAUUGUUUUUUAGUCCCAUUAAA